rnacentral:rRNA from 1 species
UGAAACUGCGGAAGGAUCAUUACCGAGUUGAUUCGGGCUCCGGGCCCGAUCCUCCCACCCUUUGUGUACCUACCUCUGUUUGCUUUGGCGGGCCGCGGUCCUCCGCGGCCGGCCCCCCUCCCCGGGGGGUGGCCAGCGCCCGCCAGAGGACCAUCAAACUCCAGUCAGUAAACGAUGCAGUCUGAAAAACAUUUAAUAAACUAAAACUUUCAACAACGGAUCUCUUGGUUCUGGCAUCGAUGAAGAACGCAGCGAAAUGCGAUAAGUAAUGUGAAUUGCAGAAUUCAGUGAAUCAUCGAAUCUUUGAACGCACAUUGCGCCCUUUGGUAUUCCGAAGGGCAUGCCUGUUCGAGCGUCAUUACAACCCUCAAGCUCUGCUUGGUAUUGGGCACCGUCCUUUGCGGGCGCGCCUCAAAGACCUCGGCGGUGGCGUCUUGCCUCAAGCGUAGUAGAACAUACAUCUCGCUUCGGAGCGCAGGGCGUCGCCCGCCGGACGAACCUUCUGAACUUUUCUACAAGGUUGACCCUCGGAUCAGGUAGGGCAAU